GACGAACGCUGGCGGCGUGCCUAAUACAUGCAAGUCGAACGCUUCUUUCCUCAUGUGUGUUUGCACUCAAUUGGAAAGAGGAGUGGCGGACGGGUGAGUAACACGACGGUAACCUCUCCAUUAGCGGGGGAUAACACUUGGAAAUAGGUGCUAAUAUCGUAUAACAGUUUAUGCCGUAUGGCAUAAGAGUGAAAGGCGCUUUUGGGUGUUGCUGAUGGAUGGAUCCGCGGUGCAUUAGCUAGUUGGCAAGGUAACGGCUCACCAAGGCCACGAUGCAUAGCCGACCUGAGAGGGUGAUCGGCCACACUGGAACUGAGACACGGCCCAGACUCCUACGGGAGGCAGCUGUAGGGAAUCUUCUGCAAUGGACGAAAGUCUGACCGAGCAACGCCGCGUGAGUGAAGAAGGUCUUCGGAUCGUAAAACUCUGUUGUUAGGGAAGAACAAGUACGUUAGUAACUGUACGUCCCCUGACGGUAUCUAACCAGAAAGCCACGGCUAACUACGUG
rnacentral:rRNA from 1 species